UCAGAUGCAUAUUUCUUCACUUACUUGCUUAAUGGCAAAAUCCAGUACCUUGUAAUAGUUGUACAGCUGAGGGAAUCACUGCCCAUCUUAAAACUGACCAAGCUGUAGACAGAAGCAGUCCUGCCACGUGACUCUGUCCUACAUGUCCAAGCACAAUGGCUAUUUCCGACAGCUCAGCAACUUUCCAGCAUCUUCUUCUGCAUGAACAGAGUAACACUGGAAGCUGAACUUACUUGAUUGCUAUCUCUGCAAAGAAAAAAAACCAACUUCUUCCUUCCUGUAUGUGGGCUGAGAAAACGUCAGAAAACCUUCAGCUGCUCUUGGGUGAAUAGCAGCAACCAGGGCUCUUUUUUUUCACACUGAUUAUAUGUGCAGUAUGCUACGGGUGUAUGAAAUGGCAACAAAGGGAGGAGAAAUCGCCAAACAAAGACAUUACAAGAUGAGUGCAACAGAAUUAAGAACUGCCGAUUAAAGCCAUGUUAUUGAUUCUAAACGAAAGAGUAAUCAGAGAUUACCUCUCCCAGACACCAUUUUUCAGCGGUUACUACAUUCCUUUGAUACCCUCUAAAAGAGCAGUGCAAGAGAAAUUCUGUACCAAAGAGUCUUGGAAAUGAAGCAAGAAGAAAUAGACUUUUCAUCUGCAAAUCCUUAUUUCCAGUGCACUCUACAAAUCUAGAAACUGUUGCUGCCUUACACGUGCCCUGCAGUCAUCCAGCAAAAUGCUAAAAAUAUGGCCUUGGCGUCUUCAUAAAUUAUGCAUAAAGUUAACCUUCAAAAGAGGUGCUAAGGAGGAUGCACAACAGCAGCUUAAUCCAGGAGAAUCAUUUUUCCAACAGGACAGCGCUGGACACCUCUGACAGGCUUCACUUUAUUCUCAUAAUCCUGUACAGCAUUGACCUAGUUGGGGGUACUCUUGGUGUCAUUGUGAUGACUCACCAGUUGUAUCGAAGAAGAUCCCAAUCUGUGAUGAUUAUCAUCAUCAUCAACCUCCUGGUGCUACACACCUUUCUGCUACUCAGCAUCCCCUUUCGCCUCAGCUAUUACGUUUUACAGGAAUGGAAAUUUGGGGCAUUCACUUGCAAGCUAGUAAGUGCCAUUAUCUACCUCCAUAUGUACACCAGCUUCACCUUUUAUGUUGCUAUCAUCAUAAUACGCCUCUUCCAACUUGAGUUCAACAAGUGCUACACUUCAAUUUGGGUGACUGCUGUCUGGAUGCUAGGAGCGCUGGUGAUUGCUCCUGUUUUUCUCUCUUACUAUGGUACUUCAAAAACAUACCCUUCCUCUCAAUGCUUUCAGUUCCAGAAGGAGAUGGAAGAGAUGCCCAUGGUGGUAGUAAACUACUGCUUGGUUGGAGUUCUGCUAGCAGUUUGUGGUUUGCUCACCAUAAUCCAGUUACCUGUGAUGUGCAGACUGACUGUGAAAUACUGGCCUGACAUCAACUCCCAUGUGGAAUUCAGGGCUCAGGCAAAGAGUUUCUUCUUCACCUUGGUAACAAUAGUGUGCUUUAUGCCUCAUCACAUAUUCAGAGUAUAUUACAUCCAAAAUUUCCACCUGGAUAAAGACCAUAAACUUCUCACGUACAAUGAAAUUUUCUUAGCUUUAACAACAAUGUGCUGCUUGGAUAUGUUGUGCUUCAUAGCAGGCAUAGCCCACUGAACCAAGAACUAGCAAGGAAUCCAACCAACAGUGUGUCAAUACUGGCUCUUAGCAGAAAUAAAACUGCAUCAGGACUUUACUGGGCCAGGGAGACUGCUGAGUUUUCAGCAUAACUACACAGGAUUGUAGUAGUUUCUGGCUUUCACAGACUAGAAAGAUACAUCUUUCAGAAGCUACUGUUUUUCACCUUCUCCCUUGAAGACAGACAGAAGAGCCUUGCUUCAGACUCUGAUCUAAAUGUCAUGCCGUGAAUCUUCAUUAAGAUUUUCCUCAGCUGUCUCUCUCUAACCAUUGCAGUACAACUAUCUGACCCUUCAUCUAUUUUUCCUCAGCGCAUCUCAAUAACAAGCUAUUGUGUCUAAUAAAUUGUCCACUGUGAAAAUCUAACAACUUAGUUUGUAGCUGUGAUACCAAAGGGAAGAGGAAAGAAAGAAAUUUCUUUACAAUAUUUUUCCACAAGGGAUUUUAGAUAACAAGGACAUAAACUGUAUAAAAAAACACAUUCAAGGCAUGAAACAGGGCAUGAACAAAAAGUUUUAGCAGAAUAUUUUAGAAGAAGCUUUUCUUCACCUCUAUAAAGUGUAUAUUAAAUAAAAUGAAAGUAUUUAGAAUUCUAACAACUCAAUCUUUACUUGCGUCAUUUCAGAAAUACAAGCAGCUUCCAGAAUUAUGGUACUUAUGCCUCUAGAGUGAGCAAGAAAUGAACAGGUCACAAGUUACAAAAAACUACUGUCUUAGGUUAAUCUCCCACCAGGACCGAUUCGGUGGCUGUUAUUCCCUAAGUCCAUCACAGCUACUACAGUUCCCUGCCUGUAACUGGAGCUAGAAUUCAGGACUGGGGGCUUUGGUACUCCACUGAAUGAUCAUCUGCUCUCUGACACGGGGAAAUAUUUUAUCAGACUUCCAAAAACCUUUUAUCAGAAAACAUCUUUGAUGUCUGGUCACUUUCAUUUGCAUGUUAUUUAUUAUCAGGUGCCAUAUUUUUCCAUUUAUAGAUGUAACAAAGCAAACCCAGAAUAGACUGACUGAACUGUGUUUAAUCAGUUCAACAUAUGUUCCUGCAUGUGUAUAUAAACUUUUGAUAGUGUAUAUUUUUUCCAUUAGACUGAUUAUAUUAUUGUGACCUUAAAAAGUGGAAUUAAACAUUCAAGUCUUGCUCCUUCAGGAACUACAUCCAUCAUGGAAAUGGCUGUUUCUCUUCAUUAUGUGCAAGAGAUUUUCAUGCAUGCUUGUUCUGUUCAGUGUAGAAGGUCUCUAACCCUUCUAAGGCCCCACUGUCAUUUGCUGCAUCAUAACAGCCCAAGGCCAGAUUUCUCCCAUUCCAGAUUCCCAGGACUCACCCAAGAGUAUAUUUCCUUCUUCAUAGCACCAUGAGCUGUCAUAAUUUGUACAUUAGCAAUCUUUUCUAUAGAACUGUUAUGAUGCCUGGAUUCAAUCAGGUUGAAAGUUGAUUUGAAAGGGUUAAAGAGCUACAUCUAUCAAGUAAUGCUAGUAAUGUCUCAGACUGGCAUUUUUAUUUUUUAUUUUUAACAAAAGAGUACGGAUUGACUCUGUCAAUGCUGAAAAGAUUUUUUACUUUUAAUCGUUGCCAUUAAAAACAUUGUUUAAAAUUC